CAGUAAAUGCUCUUAAAUGCUGAGUCAUUUCUCUACCCCACAGGCACUGUUUUCUUCUAAGCAAGUUGACCAGUGGAUCAUCACUGAGCUGCCUGGCAUGUUAAAUCAGUUCACCAUGAUUGGGACAACCCCACUGUGAACAGCACCCAUCCUAGAGUCAUCUUUCGUGGACCUCCAAACAACUGGGGCCUGUGCAUUCUGAGAAGCUGGGGUGUGCUUAUUCAACCACUAGGAGCUCCCUCAAGACCUCUAGUUACCUCCACAAAAAGAUGCUGCAGACUAGGGUCCAGGACUGUAAUAACUUUUCUUAAAAUUGUAUCUUAAGGACCAUGAAGAUGGCUCAUCAGGUGAUAACACUCAAAUAAGCCUGAUUACCCGAGUUUGAUUCCCCAGGACUCACAUGGUAGAAGCCCUCAGCUGCCCAGGCAUGCAAUCCUCAAACUGCUUCUGUCCCUGCUGGGAGAGAAUCCUUGCGGCCACUCCUAUUGAUGCUGGACACAUGGAGAGCACAGGGUGAACAGGCAGCUGCGGUACUUUUGAGAAGAUGAAGGACUUCUUCCUAAGAAGAAACCCAGGGUCAGGAGUCAGAGUACUUGGUAUGAAGGGCUGGACUACAGCCAGGGCAGACCUGUCCUGCCAACACCAGUGAACUCACAGACAGGCAGAGGGCCCCUGGAGAAAGGAGCUCCUAGGCCAGCAGCAUCCUAACUCACCAUCCAUCCCAAAGCUGUAUGACAGAGGAAGGCGCAUUUCCUCACUCAGGCUUCAGUUUAGCCACCUCAAAGACUGGAAAAAGAUGGCAGACAUGAAAUCUCAAAGACAUGAAUGACUUCCACUUGCAACCUGAAGACAACUUUGCUCCAAGUCCACGUUCCUUCCCAACCCAGACAGUCCACAUCUCUGAUAAUGUUCUUCCCUCUUCAGCAGAGUCUAUGGGGAAACUACUUGGAAGGGAUGAAGAAAGAGCUGGGCAAGAAAAAUUAUGGAGGGGAGGUAUGAAGGUAAACAUGGCCACCAAGGCUCUGGAGCUCCCCAUGGUAGGUCUUAGACACUGGGACCUGUCAAGACUUUCCCCUGCUCCCAGCUUUGUCAUCUAAGUUAUCCUUUCCUCUCAGCCCAUGACUACCUACCCAACCCCACUGCCUUCCAAUCCCCUCAGGUCCCCUGCCGAUGCAGUUCUGGACUUAAUUAAACCACCUGGUAAGCAUUAUAGUUCAACACCCAUGAACUAUCUGAACUAUACCAGCUUCCUCCCCAUGAGAAGGUCAACAGAGAGGCUGGGAAAAUUAUCAAGACACCACUAGCCUUAUCUUCUAAACAGUUACAAUAGCAAGAAUGUCUAUUGACCUCCCUGGUCAAUGCCACAUGACAAAUCCCACUGACCCCAACAUCCAGAAAAGUAGUAGAAAUGACAGAAGUAGGCUGAUGGAAGUGACCAGGCAUAGUGGGGCCUGAGGACCAUCUCUCAUCCAGCAUUUCAAAAUAGGGUGAAGAAAAGACAGUUACUCCUCAUUGCCUCUGUCAUUUCUGGAGUCUUUACUGAAUGCUGGGUGCAAGGACAUUCUUCCACCUCAUACCUCGGCCCCUUAAGAGCCAUAUGAAACAAAGGUCAAAAGUCUAUCUAAGGGACAGACUUAAGAUGGUUUUCAUUAUCUUGCCUUCCUGUGACCACUGCCCAUCAGUGCAGCAGAACCUAUGUAUCACUUAUAGCCAAUAGAAUAAAGGAAAGGUGGGAUAGUCACUGCCAUCACUAUAUUAUCAAAGCCCUAGUGUUGCUAACAGCCAGGUGCCAGAGACCCACUCCGAAGAUGUCCACAUCAGCAAUCUAAGAAAGGUUUGCAGAGCAAUGAACCUCUGCAAGUUAGAAACAGCUGUUGGCCAGCAGGGAGACUAGCCAUAGUUCUGUAGCCAUAAGGAAUGCUCCUGAGCCUGUGAGAAGGCCCAUCUCCACCUGAACCUCCAGAUUAAGAUGCACCCCUGGCCAGAUAACACCUUGAUUACAUCCAGCUAAGAGCAUCCUACUAUACCAUGUCUGGACUCCUGGCCCAUAGAAACUGUGAGACAGACUUACGUUGUUCUAAGUUCCUGUGUUUGAGCAUUCAUCACGAGAAAACAGAACAUAGAUAUAAGUAUGAUAUCUGUCUUUUAGAUGAGAACCCUAAAGCUCAAAGACUUUGGUGAGAGUCCCUCCCUUGCUUUGAGGCUCAGCAGGGACCAGAGUCUGCCCUAGACUACGUAUGUUGAUGUGCUUGACAGACAAAUUGGCCAUUGUUAUUCAGUAGUCACUCAAAUAAGUAGUGGCCUACAUGAUCAUUGACUGAAAUACCAUCUUUCCAACAAGUGUUUGUUGAGUAUCACCAGUGUGCCCAGUCAAGGAGAAACAAUGGUACGCUACACAGACACACACCAGUGUCUCAAUGGCAAAGAGCUCAAUGAAGAGUGUGGACAAUACACAGGAUCUUUAUAUGAUGAAGGUUAUAAAGUACGAAUGGAUGGGAUGAAAUGGAAGCAUGUGGGACAGCCAGCCUUGGCCCAGGGCAAGAGACAGACUCCCUGAGUAAGUGAAGCCCAGUUCUUUGGAAGGUGGGCCUGGUAAGGAGUCAGCCCUUCCACAUACUGUAUAAGUGAGUAGGUAGGUGAAUAAGUUUUACUGGUCAAAGAUCCCCAGAGAAAAGGACUCCCCCUGCAAUGUGAGGUCAUCCUGCUUCUAAGUUUUUUAGCUUCCAAGACACAUGCUCCAAGGAUCCAAGGCCUCCGUGACUAAGCAGUGAUGCUCAAAGACAUUAGGGUUCACUGAAUACCACUUCUGCAUGUAUCACUGGUGGCUGUAGUUAGCAUGAGCCUGUGUAGCUGGGCUCUUAUUCUCCAGACAUCUAGUGGUGGGGAAAUGGCAGGUGGAGGGAAGUGUGAGGCAAAGUGGGGAGAUGAAUCAGGAGCUGAUGAACAGAGCCAGAGCAAAAGGCAGGCAUUAGAAGAAGAUCUCCAUGGGUCAAGUUUCAGCCUAUGAUGACUCACAGCUCCAGAGGUCUUUGCCAAUGAGCUGGCUGGCUAAUAUGGAUCAGGCAGGUUCCUAGCAGGAAGCAGACAGCACGAGCAAAUUGGUCAUUUAAGAGAAUUUCAUAAAGAGACUAUUGUUAGUGGUCUUGGCGGACAUACAAAAGAUUGUAAGGACCUUGACCAAGAUCGGCAGCCCAUCCCAUCAGGCCUCACCACACACAGGAAGUUAUCAGAGCAUCAGGGAGCUUGAACUGAGUGGAUAGGGCACCAGGUAGGACUGUGGCUCUGCUUAGGUGUACAGGCUGUGGCACCCUGAAGGAGGUGUUUUGUGUCCUGACCUUGCCCUGCCUUCUGUCUCCAACAGGCUGAGAGUCUGUGGGUCGGAACAGAGCAAGGCACCUGCUGACGAAGUCCCCUCGGGGCAGCCUUCUAUGGAACAGAGCAGAGCAAAGUUGGAGGCAGAUUGUGGCAAAGUGUUUGUCCAACACUACCAGAGGGGAAAAACAUUCUUUUUCUUUUUGUGAUGUUCUUUUCACAUUCUAGAUCAGAGUUUCUCAACCUGUGAGUCUCGACCUCUUCAGCAAACCUCUAUCUUCAAAAAUAUUUACAUUGUGAUUCAUAACAGUGGCAAGAUUACAGUUCUGAAAUAGCAAUGAAAAAUGUUAUGGUUUGGAGUCAUCAUAACACUGUAUUAAAGGAACUGUAUUAAAGGGUCACAGCAUUAGGAAGGUUUAGAACCACUGCUUUAAACCAGUGCACUGUGGAGACCAGUGCACACAGACCCUGUUGUAGGAGCCCACAGAAGCCCACUUGGGAUUAAGACAGAUUUCCCAAAAAAUUCUAAAAUGGCCUUAAACAGCCAUCUGCCAGUUUGAGCUACAUAAUUAAUGUAAAGAGGUCAAAUAUUAAGCCAAGAUUAAAAACAAGCAGAAAAAACUAUUCAUUAAUAUGCAAUUUUCCUUUAUCAUCAAUAAGUGGUAAAAUUAUAUGUAUACAAAAUUAUUUUAAACAAUUUACUUGUGGUUUAUUACAGAAAAAGGAGGAGGAGAAUGGAGAUGAGGAGGAGAAAAGGGGAGGAGGGACUCACUCUUACCUUUUGCUCAGUUAAGGACUCCGGACCACCCACUCACCUUCUCAGGCCUCGGUUUCCUUCUCUGUUAAAGGAAUGGGGAGUGUCCUUAUGUGUUCACUUUCCACAUUUGAAAUGGUUUCAUGAACUUUGGGGCCCCAGAUGGACCCUGGAAUGCAUAGGGCUGACUGCAAGCUUUUUCAUCAACAUGAAAGCAAGAUCUGGACCACUGAGAAGCCAGAUCCAGACACAGAAGCUCUAAGCAAGGGAACAACCAUGUAUGAAUGGCAGCCUGGCUCAGAUGCCUCAGGACUGGGACCAGAGGCCCUCUCUCCACAUGUGUGCCCAAGCCUGAAGCUGCAGAAGGAAGAUGCUUGAUUUCCUGGUCCCUCAGUGAACAGCAUGAUACCCAGAAACCCACGGCUGGCCCUCAGCAGAUGUGUGAGUUGGAUAGAGCAAUGUGGACCAGCAUGGGUUUAGCUCCAAGGAUCCUUGGCAGCUCCUAGUCCCUCUCAGGUUCCUACACUCCUGCAGCCUAGACUGGGACAUACAUAAAUAAGGAGCUCACAGCCUCAUGGGUAUUCCAGGCAGCCGGGCAGCUGGUUACUAGAAAACAACACCCUGCCAUGGAUAACUUAGGGUCUCAAAUGCAGAGGUUCAAUACCCUCAGAGUCCCACCAGACCUGCCCCAUCUCUAAUCUUCCAGUGCCCAAAACAAAGGCCCCUCUGUGAGACCCACAGGCCUCUUCCCUUUGCCUCUUAUCACCCACAUCAGAGUUCACAGGAAGAGGGUUUCAAAACCUCAGAGUCAGAACUGCACUGAGGUUAGUACUUUUUUUUUCAAGAGAAAGGAAGCCAGAAGGGUGGGAAGGGGUGCAGGUGCAGCCCAUGAAGGCCCUGGCUAUGGAGGGAAGGGCUUGCACAAAGGGUGAGUGCCAGAGGGACAGACCUUCUCCCUCAGCGUACUUGCCCAGGGGCAGACAGGUCAAAGAAUCUGUGUCUGUACUGGGGAGUUGCUCUUGAUGCUUCAAAAGGAUCAGGCAUGGAGGACCAUGGGCCAUCCAAAGACAUUUGAUGAGACCUAUCCUGCCCAGUAACUAGUACCUCUCCCUUGUCUGGUGGCCUCUCUGCCUAGAGAAACUCAGAGGACUCAAGGCCUCCAUGGCCCUGCACUGCUCAGGUACAGAGCCCUGGCCUCAUUUCCAAACCUGCCCCUCCCCCUAGGCUUGCCACACUGCUAUGCAGCCUCUGAGCAGGGAUCGUCUAUGGCCAGUCAUCUCGACUUUUGUCCAUGUGAGUUGCAUUCUAGAGCUGAGAAUGGGAAACAUUCCAUUUUCAUAUCGCCAACAGCGCUGUGAUGAAAUGUCUUGAGUGGCUUGCAAGAUGCUUAUCUACCACAUCUGACAUGGGGGUGGACUUGACAUUGUUUAUUUUACUGUCUGUAUUGCAUUUUUAUUUGUUUUAUCUUGCUACUUUGAGUGAAUCCUUCUUUUAAAAAAAUUUGGGGAGCAAGUUGUGGAACAUCUCAAAUAUUGAGAAAAUGAUAGGAAAUGUUAUUACCUGCUAUCUAGCUCUUAGUUCCUUCUUUUUCUUCCUCUUUCUAUUCUUCUUCUUCUUCUUUCUUCUUCUUCUUCUUCUUCUUCUUCUUCUUCUCCUUCUUUCUCUCCUCCUCCUUCCCCUCCUCCUCCUCUUUUUCUCUCUCUCCUUACCCCACUUCUUCUCACCUCUCUCUGUAAGAUCUCAUGUAUCCCAGGCUGGCUUCAAUCUUAAUGAAUGAUAGAUACUAUCUUGCUUUCUUAAUAAAACUAGGAUUGCUCUACAUAUACUGUUCUUCAACUUGACAUUUUCUCACAACUUAUUAGUGUUUUUUGACAUCUCUCCAUGUGAAUGCUAGUAAAUGAACAAUAGUCUCUUAAAUACCUGCUGAGGUUCCAGUUUAUUUAAUGUUUUCCACAGGCAGGCACUUAGGUGGUUUACAGUCACUGUGUUAUUCUAAACAAGCCUACAGACUACAUUUGCCAUGUUGUUCUCUUUACUUGUAAGAAUUCUGUUGUACACCACAUACCCAGAAGUGGACUUUCUGGAGAAAAGUAUCCUGAACAUUUGCCAUCUUGAAAGAAUUUCCACUUUUGCCUUCUAAAAAUGACCAACUUGAACACCUAUCUAGAGCACAGGGGAGUUUUUCCUCCAUAUAUCUUCAAGAUCAUAGCUACUUGUGCCAUGGCUGGCCUUUUGUUUAUCUGCUGUGAACUGUGUCCCUAUGCCGCCCCCAAGAAUUUUAUGUUCUCCUUUGUCUUUUGGUUUUUUAUGUUUGAAUCUUUGAUCCGUCAAGAAUCAAUUCUAGAUACUGAACACAUAUUGAUAUUUCCUGUUCUGUAAAUAAAUCUGAUUAGAUGCCA